GCUGGACUACUUGCUGGGACUGAUCAGCAGGUACACAUAUCACCCAGCAAAGAGGACACAGUGGAAAUGGACAGGGAACUUGAGGCUAGCAACGUCUCAGAAGCAGAAUCUUUAGGACCUGUGAACAUCAACUUGGUGACAGAAGGUCACAGGUGUAGGCAAGUCUUGCAGGAGGAUGAGUGGAGGGAGAGAAGAGGGAGAAACGUGUUUACAGCCUGGGAGCCCCCGUCUGCUCUGGGAAGGUGUUAGCAAUCCUUGUUCUGCAUUUUAACAGUCUUGAUAAUCUCAUGCUCAAAUACUCAGAAAUUUUUAAACCAAACAAAAGAAGUCUGUAUAAUUCUAGCAUUUGGGAGGCUGAAGGAUCACAAGUGUGAUGCAACCUCAGAAACUUAGUGAGAUCCUGUCACAAAGCUGGGGAUGUGGCUCAGUGGUACAGCACCCCUGGGUUCAAUCCCAGAACCACACACACAUUACAAGAAACGAUGUUGUAGAAGGAGGCUCUCCAGGGAGUCAAAGGAUAACUGAUGGAGUUCAAUGCUUAAAAGGUAAACCAGCAAGAACCCACACUUGCCAAACAGAGUGCAGGCCAGUCAGUGCAAGGUGGGCAUUUCAGUCUGCCCAGACUUGUCUAGCACUUUCUCUGAAAAAUGCAGGAAGUAAGUGUGUCAUGCCUCCUAGAAAACCAAGGAGCUUGAAAUAGUUAUCUGAAGAGCUGUCCUUGAACUUGCUCACCAGUUUUUCCAUAUUGGUCAGUUCUUCAGAAUCUAGAGAGAUUUCAUGAAAGGUCAAUUACUCAUUCCGUACCAUUGCUAAAAUUCCUAAAAUUCCUGUCCAUCCUACUAGGCAAUGGCAACUGAUGUCCAGCCCCCAGGGACCAGAGCCUAGGAUGCCACACUAGUGACACACGCAGCUGGAGCUGCCUGUUCCUCGCCACCCCCCUGUCAGGCCUCCUGGCUCUGUUCCUGCCAGAGUGACUGCGUCCCCUGUCCCACCAAGGAAAUGCUAUCCUGGGCACACUCCAACCAAGCAGAGCAGCAUUCCGAGGGUUCCUCGGGGGUUGCUGAGCCAAGGCUCUGGCAGGAGGCCUCUGACCCAGGAGGACAGAGGCUGGGCUUCACAGCGACCUUCUGGCGCUAGGCUGUGGAGUCAUCGUCAUUGCACAGCCUUCUGAGCCCAUCCUAGGAGGCCUGUCCUAGGGGGCCCAUCCCAGGGGGCUGAUUGGGCUGGGCUGGUCCUGAGGAGCUUCGGGAGACAUACGCGAGCACUGCCCAUGAAAGAACGACCCACCAAAGCAGGGAGGCUCCCAGCCACCCUGCGCACUGACCCCUGUGCCCACCGCCCUGCCCCUGAGCCAGGACUGCCUCCCUGGGCGAAGCCGUGGAGGACCUGCUCAGAGCAGGGCUUGGCUUGCCUGGGCAACAACCAGGGACAGAGACGGGGACGUGGGCUCGGCCUCCGGCCUCCCAGGGGAUUUCCCCGCCUUGCUCCCAGGUCAGAGACAGGCUGGGGUCACUUGUUGGUGACAUGGUUUGCCUUGGGUUUCAGUAGCUCUCCUGGGCUUUGUGUUUUGAAGUGACAGGAGAAGGCAGUGAGAUGGAUGCUGUGCAGACUUAGCAGUCGAUCUGGGCUUUGGGGCAUGAGAAGGUUCUGAAGGUGACAUUGGGGAGGAAGGGCUGUCUGGGGACAGCGAGUCUAGUGUCCCCCAGACCCCAACUCUGGUGAGGAAUGGAACAUUUAACAUUCUCUGUCGCACGUAGGCUGUAUCUUCCUUGUGAUGUCCAAACUCCAGUUGGCUCUGGGUACACUGAAGUCCUCAGACUCUCCACAGCCCCUGGUCCUCCAGUGCCAGCUCUGGUGUGUGAGCCGGCCCUGGGCAGGCUGCCUGGCCAGGAGCCUGAGGCAGGGGUUCUUGUCCAGUGAUUGACAGAGAAACUGAGAAAUGAAGAAGUUAGCGGAGGCCUCCACUGGGACCUGCCUCAGCUGGCGCGAUGGCCCCACCAGGUUGGCCCCACCGGAGAUGGGGAACUGGCUUUUGUGCUCCCCGUCAGUAAUGCUGGUGCUUGGGGACAUGGCUCCUGUGCAGCUGGCACACUGGUUCCCUGAGAAGUGACAGGGGAGCAGUGGAGCAGCAGGUGGCGGCUGGGCUGCCAUUCAGAGCCCACCAUGCCAGGCUGGCCUGAGGGUGCAAGCCCGCCCCAGGUGAGCUGGACGAGUCAACAUGUCACCCUGCAGCUGCCCAGCCUGGGCUCGGUGCAGAAGCGUGCUCCAUGCAGGCUACAGUCCUGACACCUCACCUAGCACGCGCCUUGCGCUGACUUCAGCCAAGCGGGAGAUGAAGUGGAGCAAACCUGACUGACUGGGAUUCAGGGCGGACCAACAGCGUCAGCCCAGCCCCAGUGAGCAUAAGUUUAGGCCAACAGUGUCAGUGCUCUUCCACACCCGAAUUAGCACUAGUUUGGACCAAUGACAACCGUACUUUUCCAAAACGUAAUUAGCACAGUUUGGGCCAAUGGUGUUGACCCAAGUGCUGUGUAAACCUGAACUCUGCACCUUCAGUGGCAACGCUGGGGAGGUCUUUUUGCUCUUUGGGGCCUGCAUUUCUUUGCUCAUCGAGCAAAUCCUACUCUUACACUUACUCAUCUUGUCUCUGGACUUCAUUCUUGCAAUUCAGGAAGCAAGAAUCCAGAAAGAAGAAGUUGGUGGGGACUUGCUGGGGUCUGCUGCAGCAUGCUGGGCAUGGCCCGGUGCUAAGAGCUGCAGAGGCCUGCCCCUCUGCGGACCCCACCUUCCUUCUCAAAACCUCAGUUGUCCCACAGAACAGGACAGUGAGGCGACCUCUAAACGGGUGGUAGGGCUGUGUGCAGUGAAAGUUCGCCCUGCACACCGUUGCUGGCCAGCAAUCCUGCAAUCGCAGCCGCUCAGGCUGGGUGUGCUGGUCGAGGGGGUACAGGGUGGGCCAGCCGUGCCUCCCAGGAGGCCCUCCCAGGUGCCCAGCCAUCAGGCCAGAGUCCUGGUGCUUGAUCCUGGUGUGGUGUUCUGCCCCUCUGCCCCACUGGUGGUCUGCAUUUACCUGCAGCUGCCCACACUGGUGUGACACAGAUGUGUGGCUGGCCUGGUCCUCAGGUGGCCCCAUCUGCUGAGGCCUAGCUGGGAGCCAUCUGAGGGAUGUGGCCAAUGCUGUGGCAGCCUGGGGAGCUCGGAUUCUUGUGGGGGAAGGAGGGUGCUGCAUUCCCACCCACCCACAGGCUCCCCAGCACCCCCGGGUGCCCCUUCAGUGCUCUGGGGUUCAGCAUGUGCCCGCAGCCCGUGGAGCAGCUGGAGGGCCUCCUCCCCUUCCCCGGCAGGGCUUCUCCAGGCCUGGUGGUCCCUCCUCUGCCCUCCACAGCGUGCUGAUGUUCAGCCUCUGCCCGGGGACUGUUCUGUUACCACUUUAAACUCUUGGAGCUAAAAAUACCUUUCUCUCUGGAUGGCCUGUUUGUUUUUUGUUUUUUUUUUUAUUACUCUUUUCUCAGCUGUGGAUUUCGAAACUACUCAAAACAAAAGCUGAGGCAUAAUCGCUCCUUUCUUUCCCUGUUCUGCUUGAGUAACUCAUCCUCCCCAGGGCGGGCCUCCCCAGAGCCUCUGAACCGGAGGUUGGGGGAGUGCUGCUUCUGCGCAGAUGGAGGAGGCGGCUGGGCUGGGAGUGGACAGAGAGGCGUCUUGGGGACACUGAGGGACUGAGUUCUCUGAAGAGGACGGUGUGUGCUAGGAAAGUGCCGGGAAGGCACGUGGAGCAAAAAUGUGGAAAGUGAGCCCCGGGAAAUGCCUGGCUCCCUUCACCCCACACGGAGGGCGGUCGGGCCCACAGGAAGUGAAGACCAGAUCACGGGAGACACCUUCACCCGGCACUGUGGCCACGCCUGUGAUCCCAGGCCAGCCUCAGCAGCUUAGUGAGACCCUGUCUCAAAAACUAAAAAGGGCUGGGGAUGUAGUCAGUGGCAGAGUGCCCCUGGGUUCCAUCCCCAGUACCACAACAAGGUAUCCAGUUGCUCACCCUGUGUGGCCGUGAAGGUGUGAUACUCGGAAUACCCACCGCCAGAGGAGAAUUCAAAAGUCAUGAGAAAGUAAUUCAAAGUAUCUGACAGCUAAAUAAAAACAGUAUCAAGAAACAGGACAAGAGAAAGCAUGUUUCUUCAUUCUAGGAAGGACACAUGAAGGGGAGAAUCUUAUUCUGGUUUAAUAAAUACAAGUAAUGAUCAAAGACAGGUUUAGCCACCUAAGUGAGAAGUCCAGCUGUCCGGUGUGUUCCAGAAACUCACCAGAGCAAACAGCCACACGGUCACUCUCAGGGCCAGAUAUUUGGAUCAAAGGAAUUUGACAGACUUUUUUCACAAGCUUUUCAUGGGGGUUCUGAGCAAGCUGUGCCACUAACACAGCCCGAGCAUGCCUGCCUUUCCACUGGGACACUGAGUGACAAUAGAGCCACAGCCAUGAGCUUCACUGGCUGCAGUUCACUCUUGCUCAUGGGUCGGAGCUGGGUAGUCACAGGCUUGGAUUCCAGUCCUAAUUACUGAUCCCCGUGACGCACCUCCCACGUCCAUCCUACUGUGUUACAGAACGGUGAGGAAAGGGUUAGGCGGCCCCAGGGGUUCAGGAGGCUGAGCUGAGAGCAAAGGCAGAGGGCAGUGGGCAGAUGAGACUGGGGCUAGCUUCAGACCACACUCUGAAACACUCCUUCAGGCUCACUCUAGGCUAGGGGCCAGACUGCAGCCUCAGUGUCAGCUUGAGAUGUCAUCUGUGUCAUCGUCACAGGCAGAAGAAACAGCACUGAGCAAAAUAAAAAAUAAGAAGGGCUGGGAUGCAGCUCAGUGGGAACGCGCCCUGGGUUCCAUCCCCAGUACCAAAGAUAAAGGAGUAAUGAAGAUUUGAAAGUACUUGCAAGUGGGCUGCAGUGGCUCAGUGGCAGAGGGCUUGCCCAGCGUCCACUAGGCUCUGGGCGCCAUUCCCAGCUCCUCAAAAAAUACAGUUGUUAUGAUUUCAGAGUGGCCUGAAGGCCUAAUUAGCCUGGCCCAAGCAUCAUUUAAAAACAAAACCCAAAAAAACCCUCUGAGGAUCUAUCAUUUCUCCUACUUUAUACGUGACGUUGAGACUCAAGAGAAUUUGUUUCAAAGUGAUACACCCAGUAAGUAAUGACAGUAAGUAAUGAUGGAAGAAUUUUAAACUGAGCCUGUUAUCCAAGUCAGAGAACAGUCUGUCCAAUAAGAAGUAAUUAGUUAGAUAGUUAAUGUUACACCCAUAUCAUGGACUAUUAUGCAGCCAUUCAAAUGAUGCACAAAUUAUUUUAAACUGAAAGAGAAGGUAAAAAAUGUUUAUUAUAUGACUUUAUUUAAAAUAUGUAAAAUUAUAAAAAUAUAUAUAAAAUUAUAAAUGUAUGUCUACUUUCCUAUAAAGAAAUAGAAGCAAAUUGAAACUAUAGGAACCCUUGUCUAAAAAUGAGCAAGCAUUUCACGAUGGGGUCGGCAAGGCUCGGACCUCAAACACAGACCCCGGGCCGCGCCAAGCCAGCACUUGGGCAGCGGCACCAUGACCGUGCUCCUGGUGUCCUCCCUACAGUGACCUGUGUCUUUCCCUGGUAAUAGGAAGGACAUACUCAUGGAAUGGCCUGGAGUCCAGGGCAGCCCGUAGGUUGGGGCUCGGGCUCUGCAGAUCUAAACCCAGACGUGCCGGGCAGAGCCAUUUCCCUGCCGCUGACCUCCUGCUCUGCUUCCCACUUGCUGUACUUGGGUGCAGUUUGUCUCCCAAGGGCUCAUGAGCUGGGGGCUUGGUCCCCGUGUGAUGCUGCUGAGAGAUGCUGGACCCUCGCGGAGAGUAGGCACAGGGCACUGCCCUGGAAGGGACAAUGCCAUCUCAAGAGGGGCUUAGACAGUACUGAGUUGUAAGACCAAGUGGUUAAGAGUGAGUUUGGUUUUCUCGUUUAUUCUCUUGCCUCCUCCUGGGGUCCCAUCCCCAGCACCCACACCUGUGCGACCUCUAUCUCUCACGUGUGAUCUUGCCACAUGACGCCAUCCGCCACAAGGCCUUCACCAGAAGCCAGUGCCAGAACUGUGAGCUAAAUAAGCCUCUUUUCUUUAUGAGUUAUCCAGCCUUAGGUUGGUUAUAGUAACACAAAUGGACAAAGACAUUGCCUGAAUAAUUUGAUCCCCAAGCCAGUAAGAGGGUGGAACAAAAAUAAGCAUUCAUAUUAGGGAAUGGGGUUGGUGACCCUGAAUAAGGAGCCGGAGCCCAAGAGGGAUGGAAGGGCAUCUGCAUGGAGUCGGGUGGCAGUGGGGGAUGUCACAUGGAGCCCAGGCAAGAUAAGGAAAGCACUCAUGAGGGUCCGUCCUCCAGCAGGGGAUGUUGGAGGCAGAAUGAGGUGAGGAAGAGGCCCCUUCAGGAGCAGGGUGAGGAGGAGAGACUGAAGAUUGGAGGGGAAUCUAAUAAACCAAUACACUGAGUAAAGGGAACCAGAUUGCUUACUGUUAGAAAAGAGUUCCGUGGCACAUGUCUGUAGUCUCCGUGACGUGGGAGGCUAAGGCAGGAGGAUCAAAGUUUAAGGCCAGCCUCAGCAACUUAGCAAGACCCUGUCUCCAUAUUAAAAAUGAAAUGUGCUCGGGAUGUAGCUCAGUAGUGGAGCACCCCUGGGUUCUGCCAAAAAAAGAAAAAAAAGAGUUACAAAUAUAAAAAGGAGAAAAAUGUAAUUGAUACUAUGGUGUUGUGGUGUGUAAGAUUAAAACUGGGUAUAUCACUUGUGUUUUCAGUAGUAUAAGUGUGUGAGCAUGUGUCCAUAUACACGUAUGUAGAGAUUUCCAGACCUGCCUGAGAGCCAUGUCGUUGCUCUAACAUAGAGCAUACCUAGCCCAGAACAUUCCUAAUUCCACUCUGUGAACACACACACACCACGACUAGCAGCAGCAGCUGCAACCAACUUUAAAGAUAUACCUGAUUUCAGGUCUAGGGAAGGGAAUUUACGAGAACAGUCAGUGACAUUUGUUUGUGUCUGUCAGAAAGUAAAAAUGGGUUCAAAGAAUGACAGGAAUCUGGCAUGACAGAUCUUGGACAUGAUGGCACCCUACUGGCUGGCCAGCCUGGGGUAAGAGGGCCAUCAGUGAACCGCAGUGAACCGCGGUGGACGAGGCAGGAGCAGGCUGGGCUCUAGGCCAGCCAGGUGGCUGAGUGAGGCCCUCUCUCAAAAUACAAUCUUUGCAAAAGGACAGGGGAAGUGGCUCAGUGGCGAUGCUGCCGACCAUGCUUGAGGCCUGGUCCCGUCCCCAGCACCCACACCCAGAAACAGCCCCACAGCAACGUGGCAGACACAUCAUUGCCCGGGAAACCAAACCAACAUGUGAGUCCUACUAAUGUGAAAAUACCAAAUCUACGAAGGAAGAGAAAGCUUUUCCUUACAGCGCAGUGUCACCUAAUAAAAGUGGAAGGAGUGGUGACAUCGCCAAUGCCAUUCCGUGUCACAUAGAAGCUGUUGUGUGCCUCCAAGGCAAAGCACAGACAGCUUGCCAGGUUGGGAACCAAAGGGAAGGUCCCGACUAACACAAGACGGAUAAAGGACGGCUCCUCUGCAGCCUCAGUGGGCCAGGUAAUUGGCACUUACGUUCCCAGUGCGUUGACACAUCCCAAUCUCAAGGAACGUCCCCAUUCCCACAUGUGUGCAAAGUGGAAAGACCUUUCUGGGAAAAUUCUCUAACCAAGUGAAAAUUAAAUUCAUGAUAAGGAAGAAGAGAGUUCAAGAAACACUGGACGAUGAAUCAGAUAAUAUUCACAGUGAGGUCGAAGAUGACGGUGGCUAACUGGGAAUUACUCUGUUAGGGAUUGCGAAACAGGAGAGACUCGUUUCUCAAUCCUCAGGCCAUGUCCAGGGUUGCAACGCUGUCAUUAUCUUGUCCAACGCAAGACCCUGGUGGCAGGGAAGAUGACCUGGUUAAGGUCCUGAAUCUCUCACUUCCCUGGGAGAAGAGGAGAGCCUAGAGCUUGAGAUCCGGUCAGAAGUCUGCGAGUAGAGCUGGGCUGUGGCUCGGCGGGAGAGCACUUGCCUGGCACGGGCGGGGCACCGGGCUCCAUCCUCAGCGCCACGUAAAAAUAAGUGAAGUAAAGGUGUGUGUCCAUCUACAACUCAAAAAAAAUGUUUAAAAGUCAAGGCUGUGCACAGUUCUGGCAUGUGAGUAGAAAUACAGACUUAAUAAGACGGGGAGGAACGGGGCGGCUGUUAGGACAGCUGAAAGGUCUGCCAGGGACGAGCGGGUACAGUCCUGGUUACUUACCCUCCACGUAGAACGGUGAGCGCACUACUGUGCUGAAGGAGGUCCCCAGCUGCAGAGUGGAGGCCCGUGGUGGGAAUUCCCAGUGUGAGCCCAGGAGGAAAGAAAGGAAAAGAAAGGGGUCCGCCCAAUCACCAAAGUCAGACAGGGAAGUCGACAUCUAGAAAUGAACAAAUUGGAGGGAAUAAAGUCACAUGAAUGUUGACUGUGAAC
rnacentral:lncRNA from 1 species